rnacentral:lncRNA from 1 species
GCCCCAGAGCAGCCUCCAGCGUGGUAUACCCACAUCUGCCCGAUCCAUGCUUUCAAACUUUGCACAGGCACCCCAAUUGUCUGUGCCAGGUGGCCUCCUUGGUAUGCCAGGUGUCAACAUUGCAUACUUGAACACUGGCAUCGGAGGACAUAAAGCCCCAAGUUUGGCAGACCGGCAGCGUGAAUACCUUUUAGACAUGAUCCCUCCCAGGUCUAUAUCGCAGUCCAUCAGUGGGCAGAAAUAACGCCUGUUCCACUUGUACUGCCCAUCCUUGAAUCCUUUACCCAUUUCUCCCAUUGCCCCCAACUUCCGUCGCAUGCAGUGCCUGUACUGGUGCCUACCAUACAUGGAAAGCAAAACCGAAAAAAAACAGAAGACAAAAAUAGACAUCAACAAGAAAACACAUGCCCUGCCCUGCCCUGCCACCUCCCCUUUAUUCACACUGCUGCGAUCUGCUCUCCUGCUGCUCUGUCUUCUCUCUUCGAUUUCCUUUAACAGUGAGCUGGAUCUUUGCCUCUGAUAGAGGUCAGAAUGAGGUCCUGGGAGAAUUCAAGUCCUUUGAUGUGUGUUUCUAAAGUAUGUUUUAUGCUAUAAUUAUUAUCAUUUUUAAUUAUAUUGUGUGUUUUCCCUUUGUUCUGUAGACGGUUAACCCCAAUCUUCUGUUUUCUUUACUUCCCUACCACCCUCUGCUAACCCUCCUCCUUAUUGAAAAAAAGUAUAUAUAUAUAUAUAUAUAUAUAAAUGAUAUACAAUUCAAUGAUCACAUGCAGAUUGCAGUGGAUCCUCAGCUGCCAAUAGGAAAUAACUGAGAAUGUUAGGGACAGAGAUGUUGAGUGCACUUAACCUGAGUUGUGGAGUGGGUAUCAUCAGACAAAGAGGAAUAACAUCCCACCUAUGGUUGGUUAGGAUCUGGAGAGUUUAGGAGGCAGUGUUAUAGUAAUGAAGUUGAGCUCUGUGACAAUGAGUAAAAGAGCCUAGAGGGAAAAGCUUAAAAACAAAAACUACCUGUUGUUUAACCAUGGGCUAAGGGGAAGAGGGGUUACAUAAGCUCACUAGUGUCCCAAAGAGGGCUGCAGCCACGUCCUGACCCCAGUGAGGACACAGAAGUCUGUUCCAGGCCAACCAUCUUGAGAUUGUUUAUCUUAUUUUCUUUGUAAAAUUGUCUCUCAUCACACCUUCAUACCCUUUAACAAGUGUUCAUCUUCCUUCUAACCAUAGUCCCAGAGGAAUGGGUGUUUCCAGGCUGCAGGUGGCUGGGUAUCCUAGAAGUUGGAAUCGGUAUAUGUGGAUCAUGUGACAGAAAGGGAAACUAAACAUAGAGGAGGAGGAAGAGGUUUCUCCCCGAAGUUGAGAUUCUAGCAUGUUUCUAUACCUGUACCCUCUGAGUGCUGAGAGAUAACGGGUGUAGACCCCCCCAAUCAGGUUGGUAUUCCACUCUGACUCUGCUAUGCUGGCUGUAGAUCCAACUCCUUAGAGCCAAGCAGUUUGUCAAACCAGUUUUGGACCUUAGUUAUACAAGUAUUGUCCUCUCCCAAAAUUUUGUUCAUUUUGCCUUUUUUUUUUCUUGCCUUUUUUUUUUUUUUUUUGGCACUAUUAAUGUAGAGAAUAAAUUGAAUUGUGCAAUGUCGCUGUUCUGAGGUUAGGGAGGUUAUUAACAUCCUGUUUGCCCACACUGUGGCAAGGAGGAAGGGAGGGGACCAAGCUGUUUUUGAGGUAAGGGAAACCUGAAAAUGAAGGGUCUUUGCUUUCCUCAGAUUGUACAUGUAGUAAAACCUGCCUCUACAGCCCUAGAAGCUGUCAGAGUGUACUAGGGACACUUUGAACAAAGAUGUAUGAGGAGUUUUAUAAUAUUUUGCCCUUGAUAACCACCUGGGGAAAUUCCCUCAUUUUUAUUUUUAAAAACUAAAUUUUUUUAAAGUAAGAAGGCACUUUUAAAAUUACACACACACACACACACACACACACACACACAAAUACACAAACUAUACACCUUUCCCAUAAAAUUUGGGGGUAGGGUGGGAAAAGAAGCUAAAUCAAGCUCAAUCCCCCCACUCUGGUCUCUUCUUUCCCAAUACCCCAGUGCCACUGUGGGUGAUUAUACUGGCCCUACGGGUCUUCCUGGGUUUUUUCUUUCUUCCCUUUCCCUCAAAUGUAUUGAGCACUUAAUAAAGGAGCAGAGAUACAACUGUGUCUGGGCUCUCCAAGUGGUGAAAUGACCUGGAAGCUAGAUGCUAGUAACAAGUAGUUUGAGCAGGUCAUUUCAAGUAUUUUUCUGGGGAAUGUGGUGCCCCUGACUGUAAGUGGUGGGGGAGGGGGGCUAAUGGAGCUGGGGUUGGGAUUAUUUUAAAAUUAUAUAUAUAUAUAAAAAGAUAUAUUCUUACAUCUUUUCCUUGCCCUCUGUGCUUUGAAAGCACUGAAUAAAUUGAUCUGUUUUUCUCUUCCACAAAAUUGGAAGAUUUUUUUUUCUUCCAUUUUUUAAAUGUUCUUACCAGUCAUCUUGCCUCGUGGCAUGUCUGUCUAACCUCUCCCUACCCCGUGAUGAAGUGCCAUUUCUGUUAAGUCUCCCUGACCCCCAACUCAGAGGUGCUCAGAGGUACAAGGUGCCCAAGUUUGUCAGUUGAGAUUAAAAGGAACAGAGAAUGUGCAAUACCGUCCAGCUGGGGCCUGUCCUUGCCCUGAGCUAGGUCCUCUCCCUGGGAGCCAGGCCACUUUGACUAGGGUUUGGAGGUAAGAUGUAUGGAAAUGGGGAGUGGUGGCAAGGAGAGCCUAUAGUUCAGUGCCUGUUUAGGUGCUGAGGCCAUAGGGAAGAGGGUAGGGUCUUCCCUGUUUUUAUCCCUUCAGGGUCAAUUACAUAGAAGCUGCUUAUAAUACUAGUAUAGCUCUGUGGCCCUUUGCUCAGUCACUGAGGUUUGAUUUCUCAUCCUCUUUCCCUAUCAUCAUACUCUUCCCAGGAAUUAGCAAGAGGGGUGAAAUCUUUCUUAAUCAUGGUAAAGUAUUAGCCUUCCAUCUCCUCCCUUAGGUUCUGCCCUGUCCCCCUUUCUUAAAGCCUCUACAUUUUACAUCACUGAUUGCCUUGUGUCCUUCCAAGACUUUUUUUUGUUUUUGUUUUUUGUUUUAAUUAACUCCCAUCCUCCAGCUGUGGGCCCUUGUAGACACUAGCCCUCACGCCCUAAGGAUAGGAGGAAAGACCCUGAGUUCAGUGUUCUUUACCACUGGACUCAAACUCUCAGCUAUCAGUAGAGUGGGGAUCAAACCAGUACAAUCUAGCUUCCUCUAGACCUUGAGGCACUACAAGCAGUCAUUCAUGGAUGGUGUCUUAUUCCACAGCAACCUGAAACGGGUGGAUUAGUGGCAAGGCUGGGGUAAAAUUAGGAGACAGAAGUCCUUAUUUGUCGGUUUUAUUUUGUCAGUAGACCACAACAUCUGAACUCCCUCCAUUGCUGAAUAAGUAUUUUUCCUGCAUUAUGAGAUAUAUGUAUGGUAGACAUUUCUUUUUAAAGACCCCGAGAUAAAUGUUUUCCUGCCUUGGUUACCUUUCCUUUCCCCUUUAAGAGGAAUUAGCUAUAGAACCGCUUUGUAAAGAUGCUUCUUGAUAUUUUACUUUUGUUCCUUUCCCCAACCAUUCCCACUUCCCCUUCUCUCCACAGCCCCGAUCCCACUCAUCCUAGGCUCCCUUCCUUUCCAUCAAGAUCUUCAUUAGCUUAUGAUAUUUGCUGCCGAGAUGUUAUAACAAGGACUCAUUCAUGUAUAUAAGCUAUUUCUUGAUCCAUUUAAAAGGAAUUGUACAUUGUGU